rnacentral:lncRNA from 1 species
UUUUACACAUAAUAAAUUUGUUUACGUAUUAACAAGAAUAAACCUUUAAUAUAUAUCAUAACAAUUGGAAAUUAUAAGUGUUGGAUAUACAAUAGUGAUAAAAUAUCACUUGAGGAUCCUGGAUACUUUCGCCGUAGCUAUAUUAAAUUCGUCAGAGGCGAGAAAUAUGCUGAGAAUUCUUGCGUGCUAUUUCUAAAUAAAAAGAUAUUUGAAUGAAAUAAUACUUCAGAUCGCUUUAGUAUAUUUCUAAGAUAUGCCGAAAACUACGACUUUUCUUUUAACAGUUAAUAAACAACCUUAAUAUACCAUGACGAAGCCUUAGUUAUGUGACUAAAUACGCAAUUUGACAGAUGUCAAAAGGAGCAGAAAAUAUACCUUCCACGUACUGUUUUAUUCACUAAUCUUAAUUUUUUAAAUUUUAUUAAGACAUUGAAUAAGUUCUCGCUGUUUUCCAACUGAUGGCGUUACUAGAACUACUUGCGCGUUGUUUAAGAUGGUGACGCAUGUACAUAGAAAUACUAUAAACGACCUUGAAAUUCAAUGUCAUUUCGCUGAAGUGUAAACAACUUGGUUUUUUAUAGUGUUAAACAUGUCAAAUUUCAUGUCAAAAAAGAGUAUUUGCGGGAAAUUUUACUUCACUACUUUAUUCAAAAAAAAUCUGCAGCUGAAGCACACAGAAUUCUUGUUGAGACUUACAGCGACCAUGCUCUGUCGGAAACAACAUGCAGAGAUUGGUUUAGACGCUUCAAAAAUAAUGAUUUUGAUAUGGAAGGUAAAGAACGCUCUGGGGCACCGAAAAAGUUUGAAGACAAAGAAUUGGAGGCAUUACUUCAUGAAGACUCAUGUCAGACGCUAGCUGAACUUGCAGAAUCAUUAGGAGUUGAUCACACAAUAGUUUCAAAACGUUUGGAAGCAUUAGGAACGAUUCAAAAGCAAGGUGUCAUACCAGUUGAAGCCGAGAGACUUCGAUCGGCGUCUUUUCACGUGUGAACAGCUACUUCCACGGCAGAAAAGGAAAGGAUUCUUGCAUCGUAUCGUGACUGGCGAUGAAAAGUGGAUACACUACGAUAACCCUAAACGUAGAAAAUCGUAGUGUAAGACCGGCCAUGCAUCAACAUCGUCGGCAAAGCCGAAUAUCUAUGGUUCCAAGCUUCUGCUUUGCAUUUGGUAGGAUGUCAGCUAAGUGUAAUUUAUUAUGAGCUGCUCAAACCGAAUGAAAUCAUGGGAGAUCGCUACCGACUACAAUUGAUGCGUUUGAGCCGGGCAUUGGAAAAACGGCCGCUAUACGAGUAGAGACACGACAAAGUAAUUUUGCAGCAUCACAACCCUCGGCCACAUGUUACAAAACCGAUGAAAACUUACUUGGAAACGCUUAAAUGGAAAGUCUUACCCUGCCGUAUUCAACGGGCAUUGCGCCUUCCAACUACCACUUGUUUCGAUCGAUGGCACAUGGCCUGGCUGAGCAGCACUUCCAUUCUUAUGAAGAUGCCAAAAAAUGGGUCGACUUUUGGAUAGCUUCAAAAGACGUGUCGUUUUUCCGACGUGGAAUUCAAAUGCUGCCAGAAAAAUGGGAAAAAGUAGUGGCUAGCGAUGGACAAUACUUUCAGUGACAGGUUUUUUACUGAUUUUUUAAAAUAACGCAUUAAUUUUCACGAAAAAACAGCGAGAACUUAUUCAACAUCCUAAUAAGAGUCGCACAAAUACGUCACACGUUACAACACUAGCGCAAAAUGAAUAAUAACAAAAUGAUACGCAAAAAUAAAAUGAAUUGUCAACACGUCACUUUCUCGUUUUAUAGUUCUUAUUUCUAACACUUAUGGCUGUAUUGCUGUUAUUAAUGUAAAGUUCUCAGCUAAAGGCAAGAAACCUUAACUCUUUCAUUGCAAAUGGAAAGUAUACUUCUCACUUGUUUUCCUUUUAUUUUUAUAUUUUAAAAAUGUUUUAGGAUACUAAUGAUGAUGUUUGACUUUUCCGGUACAGAAAUACUUAAUUUAUAUGUUUCCAAAGUUUUUUGUCACUCAAUUGUCACUUUGUGAUUAUUUAUAACAAUUUAAAUGUAAAAGCGAAUUUUUUCCGAAAAAGUCAAUUUCUCCUAAAAUAUAUUGAAUUUGACCAUUUUCGGCUAUAAAGGAUUUUGAGAUCGUUGAUUAUUAAUCUGAGGUCAAAACUGAAAAAUUAAAAAUAGCGGAUCUAACAUGGUGGAUGAAAAUAUUAAAAACUGAAAAUUUUAAGUUUAAAAAAAUAUAACCGUAUUUUACACAAAAUUUACAAUAUAAAUGGUCUUUUGUGAUUUUCACUUAGGUGUAUCAUUUUUGAGAUAGAAAUUUAUGAAUAUUGAAGAUUGCUGAAAAUAUUAUACAUGUAGGCAGUCAUAUUGUAUUUAAGUUUGAUAUUAUCUUUAUCAUUCAAUAUUAGAUAUGUAACAGAAUCUAAAAACUGAAUUUACUGCAAUAAUAUCCAGAUUUUUACUAAUUUACUAGCUGAUGGCGGUCAUAUUAGAUCCGUUAUAUUGAAUUUGCAAAAUCUGAAUUCAAAUUCGGAAUUAAUGAUCCAAAAAACGUAUGUAUGCAAAGUUUUAAGAAAAUUGCAUAAAUUGAAAACUGAAAAAAACCUAAUUCGGCAAUUAAAGAGUUAACAAGAUAAAAAAGACUGAAAUCUAUAAAUAGAUUAUCAAAGUUAAAUAAGUUAACAUUUUUUUAACUAAAUUAACCCAUUAAUGCCCAUGGCUAGAUUAGCGGGAGGAUUAGAAAAGUAACUAAUGGGAACUUUAUUUUAGGUAAAAAAAAAUUUUAGGCAUAAAAAAAUUUUUUAAUUUGUUUAUAAUAAAAUUUGUUUAAACAAAUUACGAAAAUUGAUUUUUUUUUAAUAAUAAAGAAAAACUAAUAGCGCUAUUUGAUUGUACGGGAAAAAUUACAUGGAAAUCAUGUAUGACAUUGCCAAAAAUAUUUUUUAUUUUGCUGCAGUAAUGUUAUACAUAAUUUUCAUGUAACUUUUCCGGUACAAUUGAAUGACGCUAUUAAUUUUUCUUAAAAAGUCAAUUUUUGUCAUUUGUUUAAACAAAUUUUGUUAUAAACAAAUUAAAAAAUUGUUUUAUGCCUAAAAUGUUUUUUUUUUUUUAAACCUAAAAUAAAGCUUCCAAUAGUUACUUUUCUGAUCCCUCCGCCGGUUUAGCCAUGGGCAUUAAUGGGUUAAAACAAAAGUUAUAUAAAAUUAAUUUACGACAUUUCGGUUAGUCGUUUUCUGGCCUUUAUCAAGUAUAUCUAAAAUUAUAUUACAGAACGCGUAUAAGUGACAGACAGAAUCAGCAACACCGAUUAAUUUUUUACAAUCAUUAAAUUUUUUUACAAUUUGAUAAAAAAUCCAAUCACAGAAUAUACAUACUUGUUUAAAUUACGUCAAUAAAUUAAUGACUCUCCAUUAUGAAUUUUCGAUGAAGAACUGUUGAGUGUUAUUUCAGACGUGUUAAAUAGCACGUCUGCACUACACAAUGCUUGUCAGUGAAAUGAGAAGAUCGUUGAAAGUCAAGUUUGAUAACAUUAAAUAAGUCAGUUAAGAAUAUGACUAGUCGAAAAAUAAUACUUAAACUAUGUUUAUAAUUCUGUCAUAUAUAGCAUUAAGAUUGUCUGUGUCUUUUUGUAAAUUAAUGUUAUUUUUAAAUUUGUAAAUAAAAACCAUCUCCACGAUCUCUCUUUUUUCUCUGUUUCUCCUUAUGUAAAAUAAUAGAUUUAGAUCAAUCAAAAUUGUGAUGCAGAGAUACGCGAUAGUCGGUGACAACGUUAUGAUGCGCCGACGAACUUUUUAUAUUACGUUGAUGUUCUUUGAUUCUCGUUUUUAUAUGUCGCUUUGUAUAUUCUAUGUAAGUUGAGUCGUAAUCCUUAUAAUUAAUUUUAUAGACAAGUUCAAUCGCCAAAGAAUCAUCUAUUCUGUUUUUCCCGUUUUUUAUUACAUUCUCAAGCUUUUUUGGUAUCGUGUAGCAUACGUCUACAUAUUUAUCAAGUAUACGUCUCAAAUCCUUGCUAGCAUGUCUUACAUAAGGUAUUAUGAUUCCCCCCGUACUGUCUGAUUUUUUAUGGAGUAUCAUUAUUGGUGUUUGUAUUUUUACAUUUCAUUAAUACAUUCAGUCGUCUCUUAACAUAUUGAUGAAUGAGGUUGGAUAACAAUUGUUCAACAAGAGUUUUUUAACAGUUUCCAAGUUAGGUCUAUGAAAUCGUUCAUCAGACAAUAAAAUAGCUUGAUCUACGAGGUUUGUAAUCGUGUUAAUUUUGUAGCCCUUAGAAUGAGAAGAAAAAUAAUUGUUAUACCGGCCUAAAAACGUGAGUUUCUUAUACCAGUUACUCACUAACCUUCGACCAUUUCUAAUUACAAAAACAUUCAAGAAAUUCAAAGAGUUAUUGUUUUCUAUUUUGUAGGUAAAUUUUAACCUCGGGUGGUAAUUAUUGAAAACAUCAACUAUAUGUUCUAGUUCUGUUUAUGGAAUUAUCGUGAAGAUGUCAUCUACAUAACGGGGAGAGAGGGGAAUCCAUUGGACUGCCGAAGAUCUGUUCAUAAAAAUUACCGUUGAAUGAGAAGCUAGUAGAACUUAAGAUGACGUCAAUCGCGUGUAAGAAUUGUGGUAAGCUUAAAUUAGUACUUCAGAAUAUAUUGUUCCAUUUUUUUUCUAUGCUCAAAAAGACUAACUCUUUAGGGAUGUUGGUGAAAAGAGCAUUGACAUCCAAAGACACCAGUCGUUCAUGUGGUUCUAUCUUUAUGUUCUUUAUUAAUUCCACGAAUGACCAACUGUCUCUAACAUGCAAAUUUAGUGUUUCUAAACUGUCCCUUAGAAUGUCUUGUAGGAAUCUUGCUAUGUUAUACAUGGGGCUGCUUACUGACAAGACAAUAACUCGUAGGGGAAAACCCGAUUUGUGAAUCUUAUGGCGUUUUCGACCGGCCUGGGUUAAUCGCUCCGGGAAACGAUUAAUGACAUCAUAAGACCAAUCACAGCCAUUCUUCUGAAGAAGGGAAUAACUGUGAUUGGCCAGUUCUAGAAAAAAAGAAACUGAAACGGGUUAACCCAGCACCGGUUGAAAACGCUAUUAGGCAGUCCAUAAUAUGUUGGUAAGUUACCAUUGGUGCAAUGCAAAUGCUUAUAAGUCUGAAAUAACACUCAACAGUUCUUCAACGAAAACUUAUAAUGGAGAGACAUUAAUUUAUUGACGUAAUUUAAACAAGUAUGUAUAUUUUGUGAUUGUAUUUUUUAUCAAAUUGUAAAAAAAUUUAAUGAUUGUAAAAAUUUGAUUGGUGUUGUCUGAUUCUAUCUGUUAGUUAUACGUUCUGCAAUAUAUAAUUUUAGAUAUACUUGAUAAGGGCCAGAAAACGACUGGCCAAAACGUCGUAAUUUUGUAAUUUACCAAUAAACAAUUGCCAGACUAGUCACUAUUAAAAAUUAUUGUCGUUUUGGAUUGUUGGCAAGUCAACAAAUAUCUGUUCUGAAAAUUAAUUUAGUUGUGUUAAAGUUGCAUGAAUGAAACACUGACUUAUAAGGGGAGAUCGCAGUUAACUUUUCUUCCAUUUUAAUGAGCUUUACAUGGUGAAUCUAUAUUGAAAAAUAAAGUUGUUCUGUGUUCAAGUUUUUUGUCCGAUGCGCCUUCGAAAAAGUUUUUUUUAUAACAAUUGAUAAUGUAGUUUCUAAGACAUAAAGAAAAGCCCAAAAGUUAUCACGCAGUUCUGUAUAGCGCAGUGAAAUCGCGCACGACUAGUAACAACAGGAACUUCAGCGAGUUGGGUUCGACUUGUCGGUGGUGUCAAUUUUUAAAAAAUCAUUUUAUGUAACUAUAUAUAUUAUACAUCAAAAAGCAAUGCAUGGUAGCGCCUUGCGCCAUGUGUACGCACAGCGAGGCACCACCCUUGCCUCUUUUAUGCCGUUUGCGAGAUUUCGUAGAUUAUCAGAUCUUAAUAACGGCUGAAUCGAUUCAUUUUUAAAUAGCUUUAGGAAUAGCUUGGAUCCGAUUUGUAUAAUAAAAGUGUUUUUAUUUUUCCGCUACGUGACUUACGAGCGAAAAUAUCGCGAUUUAAAGUUUCGCAUCAAGAGUAAAAUAUUUUAAGAAACGUCGCCAUUAUUAUUAUCGUCGUCGUCGGCCGAGAUUUGUACUGUUGCUUUCCGCGCGAUAGAUGGCUUACGAGUUUGACACGGACACUAGAAUAUGUCUCAACCCAUUAAAUCCCAAGCAGACGAUUUUCUGUGAUUUUUUUAGUGGUAUUUUAUACUAUGAAUCUAAUCCUCAAAAAAUUUCAAACCACCUAUUUCUUAUUUAAAAUUUUCUGAACUUUUAAUAUCUAUUGUCAGAAUUUAUUUAAAAUGCAAUUUGGACAACUUAUGUUAAUUUAUUUGUAAAAAAAGCUGAUUUUUUUACUGAAUUGCUUUUUUAAAUCAAUAUUUACACAUAGAAAAUGGAUGGAAAUAUUUCUGAGAAGUCAAAAUCUUACGUCCAUGGAUUAUGAACUUUGAAAUGUACGUGUGAAUAAUUCAAGAUAGUGGCAUCCAAUAUGACGGUUAGAAGAAUUAAAAUUCAUAAAAUCUUUGAUUUCUCCGUAUAUUAAUAGUUUUUUCCAUCGUUUUAUCCUCCAAAUUGGUUUUUGGAGGUUUUUGGAGGUAAGAGGCCAAAUUUAUAAAAUUAGAGAGAAUAAUAUUGACAACGCUUUAAAAUCUCUAGGAGCCAUAAAAUUUUUCUGAAAGUGGAACACUGUUGAGCGUUAAGAGUGUAUGUAGAGAUAUUUCUGUGCAUGCACUCUGUGCAAUUUUAACUCUCAACAGUGCUGUACGCUCAGAAAAAUAAAUUUAUGAAUUUUAGAAAUUUUGAAGCGUUGCCAACAUUAUCCUCUCUUGUUUUAUGGAUUUUGGCCUCUUACCAUUUUUUGAAGUGGCUGAUUGCGAUUCUGUUAUAAGACAUCAAAUUCAAGAUGGCGCAUCCAAUAUGGCGGUCGAAAAUAUCUCAAGUUAAUCAAAUUUACUGAAAAUCACUAUAUGGAGGAGCUUUUUUGCGUCGCUGAUUACGAAUCUGAAUUGUCGAGUUGUGAACGGCGAAUUUACUAUCAUAAAUGAAGUAGUCAAAAUUACUCAAAUUUCAUCAAUUUUUAAAUUUAUCUUACUUAUACGGGCGCAGAUGAGUUAAAGUUGUAUUUUACAAAUUCAAUUUUUUUGUUAUUUUUUUCGUACUUUCUGUAUUCUAUAUGAUAUGCAUUCAAAAACUGAAGAAAUAUAAAAAAUAUAAAAAUAAACAAAAAACUAAAAAUGAGAAAAGGUAAAAAACUGAAAUGGUGAGAGCUGGGCAACCGCAAUUUCUUGAGCGGAGAAACUUAACAUGAUUCACUCAUUUUAUUUUGUAUGAUGAACAUAUUUUAUUAAAAGAGUUUAGUAUGAAUGUAGCAGAAUUUUCCCAAAUGUAGAUAAGUAUCAGAAUCCUCUAUGAAUGUUCAUACAUGAAAUUUAUAAGUCUUAGAAAUUUUCUGCUGACUACACGGCAAUAUUCGAUCUACAUUCUUCAACAAUUUAACAAUUUAACAAUUCUGAUUUUGAAGUGAAGGAAAUAUUUGAGAAACAAAAAAGAGAAAGAAAUUAGUGAGAAAGAAGUACUGGAAACGAAGAAAAUUUGUUUGAGGAAGCAGAGCGUGACAGUUUUGAGAUGGGGAUUAAAUAAAAAGGUAUUGUGUGUGACAGUGUUAUUAAACAACAUGAAAAUAUAAUAUAAUUAACAAUUUAAUUAAAAUUUUUUCUUUAUAAUUAUACAUAAAAUAUAUCAUAUAUUCAUAUUUUUUUCAAUUUUAAAAUCUUUAGAAAGAAAAAAUUUAAAAAGGAAAGAGCUAAGUAGGUAGAUAGAUUAAGAGAUAGAAAAAGAGAGAUAGAAUACAAGUUUACGCGAGACAAGAUUUUUGACGAA